UACAGAGGUCUCAAGCGUUGUUCGGAUUCAUUGGGCGUAAAGGGUGCGUAGGUGGCGAGGUUAGUCAGGUGUGAAAUCUCGGGGCUCAACCCCGAAACUGCACUUGAUACUGCCUCGCUAGAGUACUGGAGAGGAGAUUGGAAUUUACGGUGUAGCAGUGAAAUGCGUAGAUAUCGAGCGGAACACCAGUGGCGAAGGCGAGUCUCUGGACACUUCCUGACGCUGAGGCACGAAAGCCAGGGGAGCAAACGGG
rnacentral:rRNA from 1 species